UCCGUUUUCAUCUCAGAAGGAAAGGGUCAGAGGCUCAGAGCAUUUGAUUAAGCAAGGAGAGAGAAACCUAGAGAGAGAAAAAUUCAGCAACUCAAGACCAUCGAUCAUCGCUUUCGACGAUGGGGCUUCGAUUCUUCUCAGCCUCCGAGGUUGUGGAAAAUGACUUUCCGAUCGUCACAUUUAUCAGUUGAAUUGUUGAUCUCUAGGUACAAUUCUCUCCCUCCUUUCUCUUCUGAGGUUUCUCCAACCCUCCACUGAAGCAAUUCCUGGACUUUCCUCUCCAUUGAAGAAGCUUGAGAGGUUAUUUGAUGAUUCUCUAAUCUCGAGGUUUGAUUCUCUCUUCUUUCACUCUCGUGUUCUAAUUGUUUGAAUGUUCAGCUCUUUGAUUAAAUUUUUCCUUUUAUUUGAAUGUUGACUGAUUUAGCUCCCUUUCCUGUGAAAUAUUUGGAGUACGUUGUGUGUUUUUCUAAUAAAAUGUGGGAAAGUUUUGAAUUUUAUUUGUUUUUAGAAUAAAUAUGUCAAGUAAUCGCAGAAAUUAAAUAGAUGUUUGUGGUUAAUAUUCAAAUUGUGGUGAUAAAUUUCUGUUCUGUGCAACAAAUUGUUUGGAUUAUGGCUUACACAUGUAAUUUUAAUGAUGCAUUGGUUUGGGAUGUAUAAUUUGCAACUGAUAUGAAAUGGAGGAGCUGAUUUGGUUUUAGUGUUUUCGGAUGCUUAAUUAUAGGCUAUAUGAUCUGAGUAAUUUGUUUUUGCUUUUAUGGUUGAUUGAUGGGUACUUUUGUUAAGAAGAAAUGGGUGAGGAGGCUACUAAAGUUGUUGUACCGGAGUUGGUUUUGAAAAAGCAGAAGAGGAAGGAAGAAUGGGCUUUGGCCAAGAAAGAGGAUCAGGAUGUUCAGAAGAAGAAGAGAGUUGAAAUCAGGAAGCUGAUCACUAACUACAGCAGUAAAUUUGAUCACAUUAAUUAAUUACACAGAAUUCAGCAAGUGCAUCAGGAAUAAUAACUUAAUUAAGCUGAUUUAUUUUCCGAAAGUAUGUUGAAUUGUUGAUCCCACUAGCAACAAGCAUAUAUUCUUUCAUGAUUCAAACCUUCUAUUCAUAACUUCUUUGUAUUAAAAGGUGCAAUUAAAUCAUAAUGAAUUACUGCAUUAAUAAAAAUGUCUCAAAAGAAUAAUAUAUUGUCUUAAAAAAUUACUGCAUUAAUAACCUUGAUAAAAGUCAGCUCUCUGAUUUGAUUCUUCUUUUCCCCUAAUACAAUCAUAAUUAAUUAUGCUAUGUCAAUUGGUCUAGAAAUUACAUGUCUUUUAAAUGUUUAACAAUACUUAUCUUUCUAAUAAAUUAAUCAUAUACUACCUCCGUUAACUAUUAAUCAUAUACUACCUCCGUUAAUCAUAUGGUGAUUUCUUGUAUUGAUUGUAUGUUCUGUCUACACUUCUUAGUUCUUAUAGAAGCAGGAAACUGAUAAUUUAUUAAUCAUGUCAUCAUGAUUACUAAAUUAUAGGGAUAUUAGAUGGUCAUACAAUUAAAUAAGUUAUAAGCAAUACUUUUACUGCAUCUGAUCAAGCUUUAAUUUUCUCAAUCCCUCUUCCUCCAAGUAAGCAGAAAGAUGUUAUGUACUGGUGGCCUAAUAAGAGUGGUGUCUAAAGCGUCAAGUCAAGCUAUUGGUUAGGUAAAAAUAGCCCUUUGCCUCUGCUUUCCCAGGGUGAUUUGGAGGUUUGGAAGAAGAUUUGGAAGUUGUUGGGACCUCCCAAACUCAGGCACUUUAUUUGGCGUGCGUGUAAGAAUUUCCUUGCUGUUAAAGAAAGGCUUAUGUUCCAUAAUAUCCUCCCUAAUAGCUCCUGCUCAAUUUGUAAUCAGGGGUGUGAAACUACCAUUCAUGCCAUUUUUGAAUGUAGUAUUGCUAAGGAGAUUUGGGCAGCUAGCAAUAUUGUGAGUUUGUUAUCUUAAGCCCCUGCCACUUCUUUUGCUAAUAGAUGGAUGUGGGUAGCACCACAGGUUUCUAAGACUGAACUAAUGGAGUUCUGUACUCUAAACUAAUGGAGUUCUCUUUUCUGGGGUGGGCUGCGUGGCGUGGGAGAAAUGAGCUCGGUUUUCCUUGCCUCUGGGUUUAUGAAGAUGGUGCAUGAUUAUGAGGAGUAUGCUGUGAGGAUCUCAAAACCAGUCCCACGUCAGUCUUUUGCUUCAACAAAAUCUUGGAGUUUCCCGCAAGAAGGUAUGAUUAAAAUUAAUUGCAAUGCCCACAUUGGUAAUGUAACGGGACUUGGUGUGGUUGCCAGGGACCAUUUGGGUAAUAGUUUGGUGGCAGUGGUACGUGCUGAAGCUGCGGGGUGGACUGCUAUUGUGGCGGAAGCGGCUGCUUUCUGGUUUGGUGUACACUCGCACUGAGGAUGGGCUACUCAAAGGUUCAUAUGGAAUGUGAUGCUACCAAUGUGGUUCAAGGUGUGAAGACAAAUGUCGUGGGACUAUCCCCUUUUCACCAGUUUAUUGAUGCAAUUAGCAUAGCCACAAAAUCUUUCUCUCAUUUUAAUAUUAGUCAUGUAAGUCGGGCGGGAUACACUCUAGCUUAUUUAGUGGCUAGGUUCGAUAGUUGUAAUUAUAAGGAGUUUGUUUGUUUUGGACCUUUCCCUCAAAGUCUCGUGACUUUGGCGGGACUUGAUUUAAUCUAAUAUUAUACUGUCCGGUGUUUUCACAAGAUGCAAUUAAAUAAGUUGGGAUAAUAGUAAUAUCUUGAGGGAGGAGUAGUUUCUAUAAAUGUCAGUGGUGAAGAGGGGAGAGAGAGAGAGAGAGAGGUUGUGUACGUCUUUUAUAGGAAUACUGCCUUAGUAUCCCAAACUGAUAUUAUUAGACUUUAGUUUUUUGUACAACAACAUGAUCCAUAGCUGAGGUGUGAGGUAAGUACUAAUUGAAAUUUUAAAUAAAAUAUAUUUGAUUUUGAAGGCUUUGCUCGUAUUGUGUUACUAUUCUAAUUUUUUCGUAUCAUGGUGCAAUUUUUAUUUCUUUAUAUUUAUUGGCAGUUUGUUGGGAGCCAUUAGGCAAAGAAGAGUGCAAGAGGCAAUGGCACAGCGCGACGGAGAUAGUUUGACAUAAAUACUUGAUUGUGUCGGUUUUUUUUAAAUCAGAUCUUUAAACCCUUAAAUGUAAUAUUUGUUUUAUUAAUGUAGUAUAUAGUCUUAUAUUAGAGAAAUGAGACAUUGUUGUAAAACUUUUUUCACCUAGAUUUUUCAAUUUUGACUCAAAUAUUAGAAAUAGUGACAUUCGUUUA